GUAAACACAAUCAACCACAACCACCAAACGGAAAAGGCACGGCGCACGGGAACGGGAACGACAGCACUGCCUCUUGCCUAGGCCAUCAGGGCGAGGCCGACGAGCCCCGCGGCGCCCGCCAGCACGCCCAUCGCGAGCGGUGCCUCCCCGGCGCUGGCCCCGCCGGUGCUGCUCGGGGUGGCCCUGGUCGUGGGCGCCGUCGUGGGCGUGGACGGCGUUGUCGUCGUCUCCGGAGGAGUGUCGUCGUCGGAGCCGGGCGCGGCGGGCGUCGUGGCGGGCGGGGACGACGCCGCCGGGGCGGUGGCGUCCGCGGCGGCGACCGUGACGGCGACCUUCAUGCCGCCGCUGCAGUGGCCCGGGGUGCCGCAGAUGAAGUAGCGCGUGCCGGGCGCAGUGAGCGCGAUCUUGGUGUUCUGGUCGCUGUACGACUGCAGGGAGUUGCUGGCCGAGCACGCGCUGUAGUCCGCCGAGCUCACCUCCGCCACCGUGUGCAUCGCGCUGUACUGGAACACUGCAUGCGUCCGUGCAACUUUGUCAGUCUCAGCGACUCAGCGAGAGAGAGGGAAAAAAAAUCUGCCUCUACAAUUCGCAACCACAGUGCGGCCGACAUGUGGGCCAUGUUAUGGGAUUGGGCUUGAGGCUAGUUCUUACCCAGGUUGUCGCCAACACUGAAGGUCUUGCCUUUCGCCCAGGUGGUGUAGUCCACACCGCUGGUCCACCCGGACGAGCCGCCGACCACGUAAUCCGUAGCGUACGCCGGAGCGGCGGCGACGGCGAGGAGUACCAGGCCGGCAAUAACUAGAGUGCCAGCCAUGAUUACAGCUUCAAGAACAAGGGUGGGUCUGCAAUCUAGGCAGAUGAGUACACUGUUGCAGGAGGCUCAGCUUUGGGCAGUGAUGAGU
rnacentral:lncRNA from 1 species